rnacentral:rRNA from 1 species
UACGUAGGGGGCAAGCGUUGUCCGGAUUUAUUGGGCGUAAAGAGCGUGUAGGCGGCCAAACAGGUCCGUUGUGAAAACUCGAGGCUCAACCUCGAGAUGUCGAUGGAAACCGUCUGGCUAGAGUCCGGAAGAGGAGUGUGGAAUUCCUGGUGUAGCGGUGAAAUGCGCAGAUAUCAGGAAGAACACCUAUGGCGAAGGCAGCACUCUGGGACGGUACUGACGCUGAGACGCGAAAGCGUGGGGAGCGAACAGG